UGAACGGCUGCUCUCUAUCCAUGGGGAUCACAUCACCCAGCUGGUAAUGGUUUUUCAAGCGGAGGACUGACACUAUAAAAAUGAGGAACAAAUACCCCAAGACACACACUCCUCCCUGGCAUUUACAGCACCUGAAGCAACAAGAUAAAGGAAGCACUUGCUAGAUUUAGGGAGAAGAGGUCCUGACCUGAGACGUUUGGUUCGUAAGGCUGCUGAGAGGAUGUGGAGCAUCUAGAAGUUCCACUCAUGGUCAGGCUUCUUGUGCCAGGCGCUGCCCAGACAUUGCAAGAGUCGGUCCUUGCCCCAACGAGCAUGCAGUCGAAACAGACGAGAGGUGGACGAACUCGCCCAAGAUCACCCAGCAGGGUGGAUUCAUUUGGCCCCAUGUGGAGACCUGACCCACGUUCGCUCUGAAACAGGCCACCUGAAAUCUUCCCUUGCUGCCGUGAUGCCUUUCGUAGCUCCCAUUUCCCACCCCCGGUCACACUGAACUACGUGCAAAGCCAGGGGUUACGGACAGCUGCCUCAGCACGUGGAGCAGAAUCACGGCCACACCGCCCUGCGCAGGCCAAAGCAGUUAAACGGGCCUUUGAGUGUUGACGUCAGUUUACAUCGAAGUAGUGAACAGAACCAUGGACACAGCAGGGGGAGGAGACUGCAGGGAGCCAGGCAAUUUGCAUUUUAGCAGACGAGCUUUGGGGAGGAAAGAGUGUGGAGCCUCCUGUACCACUAGGCUCCAUGACACGUUCCUCACUGCUUGACUGAACUUUACUUUGAGAGGAAACCUUCAGAAAAAUCCAUCUCAGAGCUUCACUGGACUAUAAACGAAAGGGGCAGAAACCCCCAAUUUCUCUCCUUCACCCAAGAAGACAA